GAUAAUCGCAGGCGUCGAGGUUCUCUAGAUCUAGCUUGAUCUGGAGCUAAGAGGGAAGCCGGUGCGCUUUCGAUUCGUUCAGGAUCAAAGCAAUGCCGGCGCUGCCCCCGCAACUGUAAGCGGCGAGCCCGUAUCCAAACGCGUCACUGAAGCAAACGCUUCGGGAAGGCCGGAUGCAGGCGAUGACCCGCGAGCCAGGAGACCUGCCCCGACAACAUAAUCGUC
rnacentral:ncRNA from 2 species